rnacentral:sRNA from 1 species
UUAGAACCACUGCCGCUGAUCGCGGCGCCA